rnacentral:lncRNA from 1 species
CAACAUCCUACGUUGAAAAUGGACUAGACGAUACUGAUAACAAUAAUGGUUUUAUGCAAAAUUGCAGUGCAACAGAUCACUCAACGGUUGCUGAGCAUGAAUUAACAUUUUUAGCGCUUGGAAUAGUUUCAACAUCCUAUGUUUAAUAUGGAUUAGAAGAUUGCAGUACAGCAGAUCUUUCAAGCCAUGAUGAAACAUGAAUUAUCGUUUUUAGCACUUGGGAAAAUUUGGAUAUCCCAUGUUGAAAUUUGACUAGACAAUACUGAUAAUAAUAAUAAUAAUAAUGGUAUUUUGCAUGUGCAGCAGUUCACCCAAGGCUUGCUGAGACAGAAAUUUGCAUUCAUACCACUUUGGGAA